CCUACGGGGGGCUGCAGUAAGGAAUAUUGGACAAUGGGCGGAAGCCUGAUCCAGCCAUGCCGCGUGAAGGAAGAAGGCGCUCAGCGUUGUAAACUUCUUUUAAAUGGGAACAAUAACUCCGACGCGCUCGGGGCUUGAGGGUACCAUUAGAAUAAGCACCGGCUAACUCCGUGCCAGCAGCCGCGGUAAUACGGAGGGUGCAAGCGUUAUCCGGAAUCACUGGGUUUAAAGGGUGCGUAGGCUGUUUGAUAAGUCAGUUGUGAAAUACCCCGGCUUAACCGGCGGUCGUGCGAUUGAUACUGUCAGACUUGAAUCAGGUUGAGGUAGGCGGAAUGUGGCAUGUAGCGGUGAAAUGCAUAGAUAUGCCAUAGAACACCGAUUGCGAAGGCAGCUUGCUGGACCUAGAUUGACGCUGAGGCACGAAAGCGUGGGGAGCAAACAGGAUUAGAUACCCCUGUAGUC
rnacentral:rRNA from 1 species